rnacentral:rRNA from 1 species
UCCUGACCUAAAAAAGAGCUGGACAGUACAAAUAACCAUUUAAAAUCCAAAGAACUUGGCGGCGUUCAAACCACUCAGGGGAACCUGUCCCUUAAUUCGAUACUCCACGUAUGCCUUACCUAUCCUAGAAAUAUUCAGUCUGUGUACUGCCGUCAUAAGCACACCUCAGAGAGCAAGUGUACAAUCACUACGCCCAUAUUCAUGUCAGGUCUAAGUGCAGCCAAUGGAUAGGGGGAGAUGGGUUACAUUAAUAAUUAUUACCGCCUCAAACACUCAAUAAAGUGCUAAAAGCUGGACUUGAUAGUAAUUAAUUAAACUUAACAUUCAUGAAACCGAAUCUAGAACGUGCACACAUCGCCCGUCGCUCUCGUCGAAAGAUG